GUGGGUCUCAAACUCCUGGCCUCAAGCCAUCCUCCCCCUUCUGUCUCCCAAAGUGCUGGAAUUAAAAGAGUGAGCCACUGCACCCGUCCCAACUUUUAUUUUAUAAUUGGGGGUACAUGUGCAGGUUUGUUACAAAGGUAUAUUGCCUAAUGCUGAGGUUUUUAGUAUAAUUGAGCUUGUCACUCAGAUAGUGAGCAUAGCACCCAAGAGGUAAUUUUCCAGCCCUUGCUCUGCUCCCUCUCCCACUAACUCUAGUAGUCCUCAGUGUCUAUCAUGUCCACCUUUAUGUCCAUGUGUACCCAUUGUUUAGCUCCUGCUUAUAAGUGAGGAUAUGUGGUAUUUGAUUUUCUUUUCCUGAUUAGUUCACUUAGGAUAAUGGCCUCCACCUGCAUCCAUGUUGCUGCAAAGGACACGAUUUCAUUCUUUUUAUGACUGCAUAGUGUUCCGUGGUGUGUAUGAGCCAUAUUUUCUUUAUCCAAUCCACCAUUGACAAGCACCUGGGUUGAUUCCAAGUUUUUGCUAUUGUGAAUAGCACUUCGAUGAACAUAGGGAUUCAUGUGUCUUUCUGGAAGAACCACUUAUUUUUCUUUCGGUACAGACCCAGUAAUGGGAUUGCUGAGUGGAAGGUAGUUCAACUCUGGGUACUUUUAGAAAACCCAGGCCAGAGAACCUGACUGUCCCCUACAUGGAAGAAAAGGGCCAGGUCUCUGGAACCUGAAAUUCAGCUAGCUGAGCUGCAGAUCUGGCUGGCGUUCCUAUGGCCAGAACUUGGACCUGAGGACUGUACGAGGACUGAGGAUUGAGGCUGGGUCUCUGGGGCCGCCUGGGGCUCUGGGGCCGCCGGUGGGUUAGCGGGCCUGGAACACGGGUGUGGAAACAGCCGAAAAUAAUUUUGAUCCGAAAUAACUUUGAGAGUUUUAUAGUCUAAUCGAUUAUUGUUUUAAUAAGAAUCUGUAUUUUUUCAUGCAAAAAGGAGUUUAACUGUCACCCAGGAAAAUUCGCCUGUGGUUGGAGUUGCCCUGUGCGACACGCCCAGGGAAGCGCUGGAAUGUCCCUUUCCGCUCCCAUCUGUCUGUUAACCUGUAACCCGUUGUGCAUGUAUUUGAUUCUUCCCGGUUAGAAGUUUUACAAUCUCGGUGACGAUAGGUGGGUUGGGGAGAGACUGGGUUUUGCAGCCAGAUAUUGGGUUACAAUAUCUUGCUGUACCAUUUUUUUGCCUGUGGGACCUUGGUCAAGCCAUUUCAACGUGCCGAGCCUCAGCCUCCCUUCUAUAAAAUGGGAAGAAGGAAUCUCCUGCAGGGUUUCUGGGAAGAUUCGGGCUGCUGUCUCUCUAGGGCCUACCAUGUUCUGAGUGAUCAGUGGAGAAGGGUGCUCAUGGGUGGGGACUCCGACGGUCUGAGCCUGGAUUUCUUCCACCUGCUCCUCCUUUUGGCCCCGUGGCUCCCCGGCCCUGCGAGAGGGCUGGGGCGUGGCGGGCUCCGAGCCUCCCGAGGCCUGCGUAGCGGCCGUAGCACCAGUUCCCGCCUCCCCCGCGGCCCGGCGCUGCGGGCGGGACCUGCGGCGACCUGUGGGCGGAAGUCUGUGGCUUUAUUUACACAGAGGGCAGCCCGUGGAGGCUAGCCUUGUAAGGACGAAUCGCUGGCGGGCCUGUGGGGGAGGCCAGGAAAGGCGGCCUUCGCCUGAUAGGAAUCUGUGAAUAAAUAAAUACGUGAAUGGAAGAAUGCAUUGAAAUUCCCUCCUAGGAUCACAGAAACGCAUUCCAAAGGCAGCCUCAGAAUCCGCCCACUCGCCCCCAUCCCAUUUGAGGAUCAAAUGAUUCAAAUGAGUUAUUGCCAGGCCAGGCCUCCUGCCUCCCAGACCCCGCCGUCCUGGGGCUGCCUUUGGGGCGCGACUUCAGGGCUAGGAGUGAGAUCUUGGGGCUAAACAAAGGGAAAGGGAACCCCGCUUUGCUCAGCACCUGCCAUGUGCUAGGCACCUUUCCUAUGUCACUUCAUUGACUUUCAUUCCCACGACGCUUUGGGGUAGGCACCGUCUUCCCACUUUCGUCUGGGAAAACUCUGGGUCAGAUAGAAGUCACUCGCCCAAGAACAAAAGCGUGUGGGUGGAACAGCUUGGAUUCAAAUACAAGUCUGUCCUGAGCGCCUUUCACGCCACCGCGGGGCCCGGAGGAGGCGCAGGGGCCAGGAAGAGAAAGCGCGCUGGCGAGGACAGGGGAGCGGCGCGACUGCCCAGCUGCGUUUCCGGGUACCACCCCUUCCCGCGGUGUCCUUCGCUUGCCCGCUGGAUCGCCAAAGCCUCUUCCAGCUCCACCCGUCAACUCAUUCGCCGCCGCCCGGCCCGCUCACUCUCCUGAUUUAGCAGCCAGAAGCCCCACGCCCGGUGACCACCGACCCAGAGCCCCUGGUCAUGUCAUAGCCAAAACCAAUGUAGUCCUGGAGGACUUACAGGUGCACCCAGGGUGCGUAUUUCUCCUGCCUCCACCUGAGUCCCGGCUCCGCAUCCGGUCCUGGAGCAAAGGAAACUAACUGGUCUAGGCGCCUCUUUUCCCGGCAGGGCCCCACCCACGCCCACCCUGCCGAGGCCCCAAACAGGUUUCUUCACUUUCCCUGGCCCAGCUCCUGACCCGGGGCAGGAAGGAAGCCGGUUGCUCAAUGUGCUGGAGGCUAGUUUUGGUUCUCAGGCCACCUAUUGACCAGCCAAUCAGUCAGGUGGGCCCAGCUCAAGCCACCCUGCAGGUACAGUGACUUGAGCACCUAGGACCACUCAACAAAUCCUUAGGGGUCCUCACGCAACACAACACGUGGGCUCUAUGUGCAGCCUGUGAGCGCCAGAUCCCUUGGGAAAAAUGAGCUGGAUGAAGCCGGCCACCCCAGCCCUCUGGGUCCAUCCUGCAGGCUUGCCCCAGGGCAACACACUGACCUCUUGCUGGGCCUCCAUCACACAUGCAUCCACUGACCUUGGAAGACUUUCCAGAAGCCCCAGCUCGUUUGCUUUUAGAUCUCUUGGCCAAGAGGACAGCAUGGGCAGAAAAUUCAGACAAUGACAGGAGGAAUUUAUUCACAAACAUUUACUGAGUGCCAGCCAUUGUACUAGACCCUGGGGAUACCAACGCAAACCAAACAGUCCCUUCCCCCACGUGUCCCCAUCUAAUGAGGAGUCAGGUAACAGGUCAUUUUAAGAGGAUGCCAUGAGCCAUUUCCCAGAGUGCAUCUGGAAGAAGACCCUGAGUUGGUGGGGUGAGGAGUAGGGAGGCAUCUGGAAAGACUCUCAGACUUCAAACACUGCCCCUUUCCUUCCUUCUUCCAUCUUUCUACACUCAUUUCUGGAGUACUGCAUCAAGCUAAGAGCUCAGGGAGCAGGAGGUGGUUUUCAAAGGAGAACAAGUCAUGGUGUCACAGUGUUGUGGUUAAAAUGCCAGCGCUCCAGCUACAGCCACUUAUUCUGUGCCUGUGGGUGAUUCACAUAAUCUCUCUGACCCUUGGUUUUGCUAUCUGUAUAAUAGGGAUAAUUGAUAAUAUCUACUUCACAGAACAAGGCCCAGCCCAGGGUAGCCAUUAAUUAAUGUAGUCUUAUAUUAUUUUGUGGUGGUUCACACUUUUCUGUUUCUUACAACAACCCCAUGUGGCUGACAGCACAGGUAACCUUAUACCCAUUUUACAGAUGAGGAAGCCGACCCAGACAAAUUAACGCAAUGGUCCAUGUCUGGUACAUUUCAAGAUCAGGAUCCUGGGGAGGGGUGGCCUCCUGAAAUAGGGGGAUAUUAUGACCUUCACCUGCCCUCCCUGAAACCCCAGAUGACUGGUUGAGGCUGAACUGUCUGGGGAACUUCCUCUGACCUAAAUCCUGUCGGCUAUACCCAAACACCAGCCAGAAGAUACAAACAGCCACACCCUCACCGUUUUUGCCCCAACUUGUGCUUCAUGCCAGGGGAUUUCUCUUUCAGGAACUACAUUUAAAAAGGGGGGAAUUAUAUGAUAAUUGGACACCUACUAUGUGGCAGACAUUACACAAGGCAUGCUUGUGUGGGUUAUUUUAUCUCAUGUGAGCCAUGUUAUGUGGACAGGGAAAAGAGGAGGAUGAUGGAGGAGGAGGAAAGAAUCGACUUGUUCCAACUGCUCUCCAUAAUAAAACUUCAUUCAAGUGCAUAUAACCCUGAGUGUUCUUUCUAACAUGCAAAUGUGAUCAUACUCCAACUCUCUUGCUUAAAAUUUCCCAGUAGCCUCCCUCUGUGUUCACAACAAAGUUG
rnacentral:lncRNA from 10 species